GGGGGAUUAGUUUAGUGGUAGAACGAAGGUCUCCAAAACCUUUGGUGUAGGUUCGAUUCCUACAUCCCCCG
rnacentral:tRNA from 1 species